AGGCCUAACACAUGCAAGUCGAGCGGUCGUAGCAAUACGGCAGCGGCAGACGGGAGAGUAACACGUGGGAACGUGCCCUUUGGUUCGGAACAACACAGGGAAACUUGUGCUAAUACCGGAUACGCCCUUACGGGGAAAGAUUUAUCGCCAAAGGAUCGGCCCGCGUCUGAUUAGCUAGUUGGUGGGGUAACGGCCCACCAAGGCGACGAUCAGUAGCUGGUCUGAGAGGAUGAUCAGCCUCACUGGGACUGAGACACGGCCCAG
rnacentral:rRNA from 1 species